AGCGAACGCUGGCGGCAGGCCUAACACAUGCAAGUCGAACGAAGUCUUCGGACUUAGUGGCGGACGGGUGAGUAACACGUGGGAACGUGCCUUUAGGUUCGGACUAACUCAGGGAAACUUGUGCUAAUACCGAAUGUGCCCUUCGGGGGAAAGAUUUAUCGCCUUUAGAGCGGCCCGCGUCUGAUUAGCUAGUUGGGGAGGUAAAGGCUCACCAAGGCGACGAUCAGUAGCUGGUCUGAGAGGAUGAUCAGCCACAUUGGGACUGAGACACGGCCCAAACUCCUACGGGAGGCAGCAGUGGGGAAUCUUGCGCAAUGGGCGAAAGCCUGACGCAGCCAUGCCGCGUGAAUGAUGAAGGUCUUAGGAUUGUAAAAUUCUUUCACCGGGGACGAUAAUGACGGUACCCGGAGAAGAAGCCCCGGCUAACUUCGUGCCAGCAGCCGCGGUAAGAC
rnacentral:rRNA from 1 species